GUUAAACUAAAAUUUGGCCGCGGUUGAACGUUAUUGAAUAAUUCUUGUAAUGUGAAAGAACAAAGACUUCGAACAGUUAUUGAGUAUAAGAUUAUACAGAGUUUGACAAUGUGUCUGUUAUGUGAAUGAUACUGUAUAUAGGACUUGUAAAAUAUACAAGAUAGGUAUGAAUAUUACGCCUUUAAACUGGCAUUUGCUGUGGUGUAAACGUUAUUCGAUAGCUUUUAUAUGAAAGAUAACAUAAAUGAUGAUUUCGGACAUUUAUUGAGUAUUAGAUUAUAUAGAGGGUGAAUUUUAUGAAGAGUUUGAUACGACCUGUAUGAUGACGUAUAGAUGAGAGAGCUUUGGUGUGAUUAUUUUAUGUUAACUUAUAACUAUACAAGUGCCAAAUGCGCAGAAUUCAUAUUUCCGAAGACGUACGUGUAUAUAUGACGUAUUCAUGUGAGAGAUUCGGUGUAAUUAUUUUAUGUUAACUUAUAACUAUACAGGUGGCCAUUGCGCAAAUUUCAUAUCCCCGAAGACGUACGUGUAUAUAAUAAAAACAGAUCCAAUUAUAUAAGACAGUGGUCAAAACACGAUGGAAUAUAUGCUUUACUAUGCUUUAUAGUUGAUAUGUGCUUUAAAAGAUUGCAUAUAAGUUCGCUGUGAAAGUUGUUCAGAAUUUAAUUACAACUAAUUUACAUUAAACGCCAUGGCGCCUAUUUUGUUAAUAUUUAUAAUCGAAUUUCUGCCCUUAACAGAAGCAAUGAAUGGUCCAUGUCUAUUUAAAUCAAACAUAGAUGCUGCUUUAAUUGGUGGAGCUGCCGGUGGGGUUUGUCUGUUAGUUAUUGUGAUCAUUGUAGUAGUUGUUUGUUUACUGAAAAGAAGAAAGAAUAAACAGCAUAACAAACCAUCUGCUAGACGAACUGGAGACUCUAGUUAUGAGAACUGUCAUCCCGACGAAUCUAUCACGGAUAGGGAGGAUGCAAAACAUACACAAAUUAACGCCAGUAAUAACGAUACAGAUAAGAAACCGGACGAUAUGAUCAUUCUUGAGAACGAUCUACAUAUUAGUAUUGAUUCAGUUCCCAACACGUCCACCACAACUAACAGUAACGGUACUGGGCAGAAAGGAACCCGGAUACCGGAUGAUAUGAUCAUCCUCGAGAAUCCUAUGUAUGUUAGUGUUGAUUCACUUCCAAAGAGUGAAAAGUCAAAUGAUCAACGUGACAAACCCAACCACCAGUCUACAGUCCACAAAUUUUCCGUGGGUCAAAGUUCAAAUCCUAAUGACGUUUAUGCAGUAGUAAAUAAAAAACCUAAAGCGACGGAUAAACCUUCUAAACCAACAAGGCCCACCCAACCUUCGAAACCAAUAAAACCACCCAAACCGUGCCCACAAACUAAACCAUCAAUCGCAGUUAAACCACCGGUUCCAAAGAAACCCAUAGCCAAAUUGUAAUGUCGUAAACUGAAUCAAAGCUGAACGUAAUGAUUCACGAGGAGAUGUGUUGAUUUACACAAUUUAGAACUGUUGGUUUCUUCUGACAUAAUUGUUUGUUGUUUCUCAAAGCUGUCUUUAAAUCACAUUUAAAAACCAGAAACAUGGGUUGUGUUCAUUCAUAGCUUACAAUGUAUGAUGGAAGUCUGAAUUAACGGAGGGUUAUACCGUGACACACUAUAAAUGCCAGGCUCUAUUAACGCCUAGAGCUAGAAUCAUGUGUGUCAAUAUUGCAAAUACAUGUUCGUCGUUUUGUUUCUAAUGGGAGAGAGAGCGAGAGAGAGAGUUUAUUUCAAUAAUUUGCUUGCGCGUAUGGGUCUUUAGCAUUGGGAGGAAACCAGAGGGCCCAUAGAAAACCCACGAGGUUGGACAGCCGACCCUACUUCUUGUCAAGUGGAUAAUCGGGGCAGUCUUGGUUGUCAAGUACUGUUGCUACGAUAAUAAACGAUCUACGCUACAUCUUAAAACAGUCGUAAAUUUUCAUUAUUUAUAUUUGAACUAUUAUAGCACGAACGACCGGCUCUUUAUCUAAAUCUUAUAAAAUGUAUCUUUAAUGUUUUAUUGCUCGGUAAGUGUCACAUAUUAAAAAAUAACCACAAAUAAUAGACUUACAUCCAAAAUGUAGAAUACCAAGCUGCAAAAACACAUAUCCAUUUUGAGGUGUUGAUUCAUUUGGGAAAAAAUAUCAUAGGAUUCUAUGUAUGGCCAUAACCAAAACUGUCUCAGAAAUCUUUAAAAUCUGAAAAGUAACUAUUUCGUGGUGCACUAUACAAUUCCCAGUUAUACUUACUGCUAACCUAGGGUCAAUACAUACUCCUCGCAGUGUUUCGUUUGAUUAUACAUAAUUACACUUAAAGGGCUAAUCCCGAUAUUUUUUG